AGUCGUGCAGUGCACACAAAGCGAAUUAUUCUUUCGCCUUUUACUAAAGAAUACCGUGUGUGCGCUGCGAACAACGACAUACGUCACUUUUUGGAGGGUCCACUCGAUAUGUGUUGGAU